GAUGAACGCUAGCGGCAGGCUUAAUACAUGCAAGUCGAGGGACAGCACAGGUAGCAAUACUGGGUGGUAACCGGCAAACGGGUGCGGAACACGUACACAACCUUCCUUUAAGUGGGGGAUAGCCCAGAGAAAUUUGGAUUAAUACCCCGUAAUAUAGUUGAAUGGCAUCAUUUGAUUAUUAUAGCUACGGCGCUUAAUGAUGGGUGUGCGGCUGAUUAGAUAGUUGGCGGGGUAACGGCCUACCAAGUCUACGAUCAGUAGCUGAUGUGAGGGCAAGAGCAGCCAGACGGGCACUGAGACACGGGCUCGACUCCAACGGAGGACAGAAGUAAGGAAUGUUGGUCAAUGGACGCAAGUCUGAACCAGCCAUGCCGCGUGAAGGAUUAAGGUACUCUGGAUUGUAAACUUCUUUUAUUUGGGACGAAAAAGGGUCUUUCUAGACCAACUGACGGUACCAGAUGAAUAAGCACCGGCUAACUCCGUGCCAGCAGCCGCCAGUAACAC
rnacentral:rRNA from 1 species